rnacentral:tRNA from 1 species
GCUCUCGUGGCCCAGUUGGUUAGUGCGUCGUACUUAUAAGCAGUACUUGAGUAUAUGCGAAGGUUGAGGGUUCGAUCCCCUCCGAGAGCA